CAGUCGCCGCGGUAAUACGAAGGGUGCAAGCGUUACCCGGAUUUACUGGGCGUAAAGGGCGUGUAGGCGGCCUGGGGCGUCCCAUGUGAAAGGCCACGGCUCAACCGUGGAGGAGCGUGGGAUACGCUCAGGCUAGAGGGUGGGAGAGGGUGGUGGAAUUCCCGGAGUAGCGGUGAAAUGCGCAGAUACCGGGAGGAACGCCGAUGGCGAAGGCAGCCACCUGGUCCACUUCUGACGCUGAGGCGCGAAAGCGUGGGGAGCAAACCGGAUUAGAUACCCCAGUAGUCCCUGUCUCUUAUAC
rnacentral:rRNA from 1 species